rnacentral:lncRNA from 1 species
CUCUCUUGCUUCUUACACUCUUGCUCCUGAAGAUGUAAGCAAUAAAGUUUUGCCGCAGAAGAUUCUGGUUUGCUGUGUUCUUCCUGGCCGGGCGUGAGAACGCAUUAAUAACAAUUGGUGCCGAAAUCCGGGACGAGAAAAAACUCGGGACGGGAGUUUCACCGGCGCAAGGAAGAUCCCUCAUUCCAGAACCAGAACUGCGGGUCGCGGUAAUAAAGGUUCCCGUAAAGCAGACUGUUAAGAAGGAUUCAACUGCAUGAAUUCAGAACUUUUCAGCUGGGGAACGAGAGUACCAGUGAGUAUAGCUUUACGAGGUAAGCCUGGCCUUGAACUUUCUAAGGAAAUUCAAGACAGUCUAUCAGAAGUAAAGUGGAAAAUGUUUGGCCUUGAAUUUUCUCUAGUGUUAGAAGCCCUUUUGUUCCUUUUCACAUGUUAUCAAGUGGUUAAGGCAGGGCGGAUUCUAGAUGAAAUUCAGGACAAUCUAUCAGAAGUAAAGCGGGGAGAGAGAGUAGGAGCAAAGAGAAAAUAUGGUACACAAAAUAAGCAUACAGGCCUUUCCACGGGUCUUGAACCUGAGGAAAAGUUUAGGUCAGGUAAGAAUACCUGGGGAGAGAUUAGAAGGAA